rnacentral:rRNA from 1 species
AAUGAACGUUGGCGGCAUGGAUUAGGCAUGCAAGUCGAGCGAGAAGUGUAGCAAUACACGGAAAGCGGCGGAAGGGAGAGUAAUACGUGGGAAUCUGCCCUUAGACCUGGGAUAGCAGCGGGAAACUGCUGGUAAUACCAGAUAAUGUCUAUGGACCAAAGGUGUGAUUCCGUCUAGGGAUGAGCCCACGUCCUAUUAGCUAGUUGGUAGGGUAAUGGCCUACCAAGGCGAUGAUGGGUAGCGGGUGUGAGAGCAUGACCCGCCUCACUGGGACUGAGACCCUGCCCAGACACCUACGGGUGGCUGCAGUCGAGAAUCUUCGGCAAUGGGCGCAAGCCUGACCGGGCGAUGCCGCGUGCGGGAUGAAGGCCUUCGGGUUGUAAACCGCUGCCGAGGGGGAGCAACUUCCAUAGAGUUAUCUUUAUGGAUUGAGUGAUCCCUGGAGGAAGGACGGGCUAAGUUCGUGCCAGCCGCCGCAGUAAUAC